GGCCUACGUCACGACGGUCGUGUGGCGGCCUGUAAAGACGUUAAGUCCGGGUUCGACUCCCGGGUAGGUCUCCA
rnacentral:tRNA from 1 species